GGGGCUGUAGCUCAGCUGGGAGAGUGCUUGCAUGGCAUGCAAGAGGUCGAGGGUUCGAUCCCCUCCAGCUCCA
rnacentral:tRNA from 2 species